rnacentral:rRNA from 1 species
CACCGGCAGCUCGAGUGGUAGCUGUUUUUAUUGGGCCUAAAGCGUUCGUAGCCGGUUUGAUAAGUCUUUGGUGAAAGCUUGUAGCUUAACUAUAAGAAUUGCUGGAGAUACUAUUAGACUUGAAGUCGGGAGAGGUUAGAGGUACUACCGGGGUAGGGGUGAAAUCCUAUAAUCCUGGGAGGACCACCUGUGGCGAAGGCGUCUAACUGGAACGAUCUUGACGGUGAGUAACGAAAGCCAGGGGC